rnacentral:rRNA from 1 species
UACGGAGGGUGCAAGCGUUAUCCGGAUUCACUGGGUUUAAAGGGUGCGUAGGUGGGCAGGUAAGUCAGUGGUGAAAUCUCCGGGCUUAACCCGGAAACUGCCAUUGAUACUAUCUGUCUUGAAUACCGUGGAGGUAAGCGGAAUAUGUCAUGUAGCGGUGAAAUGCUUAGAUAUGACAUAGAACACCAAUUGCGAAGGCAGCUUACUACACGUACUAUUGACACUGAGGCACGAAAGCGUGGGGAUCAAACAGG